CAACAGCGUAUAUUAAAGUUGUUGCAGUUAAAAAGCUCGUAGUUGGAUUUGUGGUGUGUCCAGUCGGCCUUUGCUCUUUGAGUGAUUGUGCUGUACUGGUCUGCCAUGUUUGGGUGGAAUCUGUGUGGCAUUAAGUUGUCGUGCAGGGGAUGCCCAUCGUUUACUGUGAAAAAAUUAGAGUGUUUAAAGCAGGCUUUUGCUAUGAAUACAUUAGCAUGGAAUAAUAAUCUAGGACUCGGUGCUAUUUUGUUGGUUUCUGGAACGUGAAGUAAUAGAUUGAUAGGGAGUAGUUGGGGGUGGCUAGUAUUGAGCGGCCACGAGGUGGAAAUUACUUGGUAUUCGCUCAAGACUAACUUAAUGCGAAAGACAUUCACCAAGGAUGUCUUCUUUAAUCAAGAACGAAAGUUGGGGGAUCGAAGAUGAUCAGAUACCAU
rnacentral:rRNA from 1 species